GGCGGCGUGCCCGAGCGGUCAAGGGGGCCGACUUGCCAUCGGCUGGGUUGAUCCCGCACAGGUUCGAAUCCUGUCGCCGUCG
rfam:Allomyces macrogynus ATCC 38327 genomic scaffold supercont3.6, whole genome shotgun sequence.